rnacentral:hammerhead_ribozyme from 1 species
GUACUGAUGAAGAGUCCCGCACUAGGAUGAAACAGCUGUCCAGUAC